UGUUCGGAGAGUUUGAUCCUGGCUCAGGACGAACGCUGGCGGCGUGCUUAACACAUGCAAGUCGAACGCUGAAGCCCAGCUUGCUGGGUGGAUGAGUGGCGAACGGGUGAGUAACACGUGAGUAACCUGCCCCCUUCUUUGGGAUAACGCCCGGAAACGGGUGCUAAUACUGGAUAUUCACUGAUCUUCGCAUGGGGGUUGGUGGAAAGGUUUUUUCUGGUGGGGGAUGGGCUCGCGGCCUAUCAGCUUGUUGGUGGGGUGAUGGCCUACCAAGGCUUUGACGGGUAGCCGGCCUGAGAGGGUGACCGGUCACAUUGGGACUGAGAUACGGCCCAGACUCCUACGGGAGGCAGCAGUGGGGAAUAUUGCACAAUGGGCGAAAGCCUGAUGCAGCGACGCCGCGUGAGGGAUGACGGCCUUCGGGUUGUAAACCUCUUUCGCUCAUGGUCAAGCCGCAGCUUUGGGUUGUGGUGAGGGUAGUGGGUAAAGAAGCGCCGGCUAACUACGUGCCAGCAGCCGCGGUAAUACGUAGGGCGCGAGCGUUGUCCGGAAUUAUUGGGCGUAAAGGGCUUGUAGGCGGUUGGUCGCGUCUGCCGUGAAAUCCUCUGGCUUAACUGGGGGCGUGCGGUGGGUACGGGCUGACUUGAGUGCGGUAGGGGAGACUGGAACUCCUGGUGUAGCGGUGGAAUGCGCAGAUAUCAGGAAGAACACCGGUGGCGAAGGCGGGUCUCUGGGCCGUUACUGACGCUGAGGAGCGAAAGCGUGGGGAGCGAACAGGAUUAGAUACCCUGGUAGUCCACGCUGUAAACGUUGGGCACUAGGUGUGGGGGCCACCCGUGGUUUCGCUAAAACUCAAAGGAAUUGACGGGGGCCCGCACAAGCGGCGGAGCAUGCGGAUUAAUUCGAUGCAACGCGAAGAACCUUACCAAGGCUUGACAUGCACGGCGACACUGCAGAGAUGUGGUGGCAUUUAGUUGGUCGUGUGCAGGUGGUGCAUGGUUGUCGUCAGCUCGUGUCGUGAGAUGUUGGGUUAAGUCCCGCAACGAGCGCAACCCUUGCCCUAUGUUGCCAGCACGUGAUGGUGGGGACUCGUGGGGGACUGCCGGGGUUAACUCGGAGGAAGGUGGGGAUGACGUCAAAUCAUCAUGCCCCUUAUGUCUUGGGCUUCACGCAUGCUACAAUGGUUGGUACAGAGGGUUGCGAUACCGUGAGGUGGAGCGAAUCCCUUAAAGCCAGUCUCAGUUCGGAUUGGGGUCUGCAACUCGACCCCAUGAAGGUGGAGUCGCUAGUAAUCGCAGAUCAGCAACGCUGCGGUGAAUACGUUCUCGGGCCUUGUACACACCGCCCGUCACGUCACGAAAGUUGGUAACACCCGAAGCCCAUGGCCUAACCGUUUUUGCGGGGGGAGUGGUCGAAGGUGGGAUUGGCGAUUGGGACGAAGUCGUUGGGUGUGUGUGGUGGGUUGUUUGUGAUUUGUAUAGUGGUUGCGAGCAUAUUUGUU
rnacentral:rRNA from 1 species